GACGAACGCUGGCGGCGUGCUUAACACAUGCAAGUCGUACGGUAAGGCCCUUUCGGGGGUACACGAGUGGCGAACGGGUGAGUAACACGUGAGUAACCUGCCCACAACUUUGGGAUAACGCUAGGAAACUGGUGCUAAUACUGGAUAUGUGCUCCUGCUGCAUGGUGGGGGUUGGAAAGCUCCGGCGGUUGUGGAUGGACUCGCGGCCUAUCAGCUUGUUGGUGGGGUAGUGGCCUACCAAGGCGGUGACGGGUAGCCGGCCUGAGAGGGUGACCGGCCACAUUGGGACUGAGAUACGGCCCAGACUCCUACGGGAGGCAGCAGUGGGGAAUAUUGCACAAUGGGCGCAAGCCUGAUGCAGCAACGCCGCGUGCGGGAUGACGGCCUUCGGGUUGUAAACCGCUUUCAGCAGGGACGAAGCUUUUUGUGACGGUACCUGCAGAAGAAGCACCGGCUAACUACGUG
rnacentral:rRNA from 1 species